rnacentral:lncRNA from 1 species
UCCAGAGGGCCGGGGGCCAUUUGGGAGUAAGAAGAAUUUUCUUUUUAUCAGUUCCACCUUCUUGCCUGAGUAUGGAGAAUGCAAGAGGCAAGGAGGGAGCCGACCCCGGGAGGUCCGGAGAAGAACACGGAGUGGACCGGGAGCCCGGCACAUCGUCUGCAAAGGGGAUAAAAAGGAGAAAACGUGUGGAAAAUGACAAAGGUAAGAGGUCUACGAGCCUUCAGUCUUACU